AUGGGCAAAAAAUAACAUGAGCUUUUUGGCGUUGUUCAGAUCUGUAUUUAAAAAUUGCUCUAAGAUAUGUAACUUCUAGGUUUUCCUUUAAGACCAUAUAUGUAAUAUAAAAUAACCAAAAUAUCAAACUUUCUCCUCACCAAGUUGAAACUCUCAGCAAACUAAAACCCUCUUCUUUUUAUUUUUUUUAUUUUAAAGAGAAUAAAAAUAAUAAAAAACCAUUAGAAACCAUACAGAAUUUCAAAAAACAAGAUGGCAGGAAUUCACCAAUGGCUGUUAUAUUGCAUACUGUUGUCUUCAAAGUAGUUGUUCAGAUCGCCAGAUAUAAGCAUGCAAAAUUGGUCCAAAAAUUAAGCAUUAGCUGUUCCUUUCAAUAAAUUAAGAGAAAUCAGUAGGACAAUGAUCUUAGCUACUUUGUAUAUAUAUAUUUUCCCUUUUUUUUUUCUUUCUUUUCUCCUUUCCCUCUUCCCAAUUGUUCUUUCUUUUUGAGCAAUUUUUUCCCUUUCACAAUAUCUACUGUGCCUUUCAGAUUUUAUUUACUCUUUCAGGUUCUUACACUAGGGAGACAAUAUGAUGUUUACACAUGCGGGUCUGAUUUAUUUCACUUCUGAGUAUGGUCUCUAGUUGCACCCAUUUGCCUAUAAAAGUCUCGAGUUUAUCUUUCUUUAUAGCUGAAACUCUCUUUUUUUGUGUACCUGUUUUUCAGGCAUAAUCACCAUCUUCAUGACCUUCAGGAUUGAAUACUGCCCCAGGUGUCUGAUGCCCUGCAUGAGAAUGAAGCUAUUCUAGAUCAGGAUGCAAGUGCUGCCGAGCGUCAUCCAAUGGAAAAGCAGGCUCGUGGAAACGGUAGUAUAUCCUCACGCACAGGACUGGGCCCGACGCAACCUCUGGCUCUCCCACAAAGUCAAAGUGAUAACGCAAAGUAAACACUUUGAAUCUACUCAAGUCAUCACGGGAGCCCUGGCAGUGCAACUAAAGACAGGAAAGAGGACUUCUAAAGAGUACCUUUUAAAUGUACAUAGAUUUAAAUGUAGAAACCAAACCAUUUCUGUAGUAGAAGAUAUGUUUACGAAUUUUGGUUAAGUAAAUCACAGUAGAGCAAAUACAUAAAAUAUCAACUACAGUGAGGAAGAUCUUUAGGUCUUUAUAUGGAUCUAUCUUCAAGAUGUACUGAUAAGUAAAAAAUAAAAACCAGAAAGGACGGAGUGCAAAGUAUGAGGGGGAAAGAUGAUAACAGAGUACUUAUACUUGCAUGAAAAAGGACAGAAAAGGGGCUGGGACAGUGCUUCUUCCAAGGAAGGAAAAAGUGCAGUUACAAUGCUCCUAUGGAAGGUAGCUUUUCUGUGUAUAUUGUUUUUUUUUUCUUUUUAAUCUUUCAGAUUUGAGUAGAGGGAAUCAAACCCAGGGAUUUAUGCAUACUAACUAGGCAGGUGCUCUACU
rnacentral:lncRNA from 1 species